rnacentral:rRNA from 1 species
UACGAAGGGGGCGAGCGUUGUUCGGAUUUACUGGGCGUAAAGGGCGCGCAGGCGGCUCAUUUUGUCAGGCGUGAAAGCCCCGGGCUUAACCUGGGAACUGCGUUUGAAACUACGGAGCUGGAGUGUGGCAGAGGGAGGUAGAAUUCCACGUGUAGCGGUGAAAUGCGUAGAUAUGUGGAGGAAUACCGAUGGCGAAGGCAGCCUCCUGGGCCAACACUGACGCUCAUGCACGAAAGCGUGGGGAGCAAACAGG